GGACCCAAGCAGUUUUUUUGCUGAACGUUAAAUACAGCAGCCAAUAAAACUCACGGGUAGUUUGAAAGAAGAGUGAACGGGCGCAAUGACGGACGUCAAUAGAAUGAUGAAGAUAAUGACAACGAAACCGUUGAAAGCAAGGAUGGAAGGAGGCAACAAUAGAGAAAGAGGAGGCUGAGGGGACUAAGCAGCUGUGACUCCACUCCUUCAGACCCCACUGAUCCGCUACAGUCACUGUUUUACCCUCAUGCCUAAACGGAGUACUGUACCUCACUAGAACCAGGUGAUCUCUUUGUAUUCUGAGUGGAACAUCCCCUCAACUUAAAUUAACUUGUCAAAAAUGUCACGCAGAACCAUUGAAUGUAGUGAAGGUAUGUAAGGAAAACUAUUUUUUUGCGAAAUAUCUGGUUGCAAUUACCCAACACAAUGUACGGUACAUUGUAUAGACCACAUGAAUGUUAACACUGGUGUAUGGUUUCACAAAUUGUAGUCACUAGUGUAGGAUUUUGGUAGUAGAACUAUACUUUUAAUGUGUUAUUUGACUAAGUAUUUUAUGAUGCUUGAAAUGUGAGUAAUCUGCUAUGAAUUCAGUACUAUUGUGAAAUAAAGAUCUGAUCCUAA